AGGCGUGACGACGAGGCACUACGGUGCUGAAGCAACAAAUGCCCUGCUUCCAGGAAAAGCCUCUAAGCAUCAGGUAACAUCAAAUCGUACCCCAAACCGACACAGGUGGUCAGGUAGAGAAUACCAAGGCGCUUGAGAGAACUCGGGUGAAGGAACUAGGCAAAAUGGUGCCGUAACUUCGGGAGAAGGCACGCUGACACGUAGGUGAAGUGAUUUACUCAUGGAGCUGAAGUCAGUCGAAGAUACCAGCUGGCUGCAACUGUUUAUUAAAAACACAGCACUGUGCAAACACGAAAGUGGACGUAUACGGUGUGACGCCUGCCCGGUGCCGGAAGGUUAAUUGAUGGGGUCAGCGCAAGCGAAGCUCCUGAUCGAAGCCCCGGUAAACGGCGGCCGUAACUAUAACGGUCCUAAGGUAGCGAAAUUCCUUGUCGGGUAAGUUCCGACCUGCACGAAUGGCGUAAUGAUGGCCAGGCUGUCUCCACCCGAGACUCAGUGAAAUUGAACUCGCUGUGAAGAUGCAGUGUACCCGCGGCAAGACGGAAAGACCCCGUGAACCUUUACUAUAGCUUGACACUGAACAUUGAGCCUUGAUGUGUAGGAUAGGUGGGAGGCUUUGAAGUGUGGACGCCAGUCUGCAUGGAGCCGACCUUGAAAUACCACCCUUUAAUGUUUGAUGUUCUAACGUGGACCCGUAAUCCGGGUUGCGGACAGUGUCUGGUGGGUAGUUUGACUGGGGCGGUCUCCUCCUAAAGAGUAACGGAGGAGCACGAAGGUUGGCUAAUCCUGGUCGGACAUCAGGAGGUUAGUGCAAUGGCAUAAGCCAGCUUGACUGCGAGCGUGACGGCGCGAGCAGGUGCGAAAGCAGGUCAUAGUGAUCCGGUGGUUCUGAAUGGAAGGGCCAUCGCUCAACGGAUAAAAGGUACUCCGGGGAUAACAGGCUGAUACCGCCCAAGAGUUCAUAUCGACGGCGGUGUUUGGCACCUCGAUGUCGGCUCAUCACAUCCUGGGGCUGAAGUAGGUCCCAAGGGUAUGGCUGUUCGCCAUUUAAAGUGGUACGCGAGCUGGGUUUAGAACGUCGUGAGACAGUUCGGUCCCUAUCUGCCGUGGGCGCUGGAGAACUGAGGGGGGCUGCUCCUAGUACGAGAGGACCGGAGUGGACGCAUCACUGGUGUUCGGGUUGUCAUGCCAAUGGCACUGCCCGGUAGCUAAAUGCGGAAGAGAUAAGUGCUGAAAGCAUCUAAGCACGAAACUUGCCCCGAGAUGAGUUCUCCCUGAGACUUUAGGUCUCCUGAAGGAACGUUGAAGACGACGACGUUGAUAGGCCGGGUGUGUAAGCGCAGCGAUGCGUUGAGCUAACCGGUACUAAUGAACCGUGAGGCUUAACCUUACA
rnacentral:rRNA from 1 species